AAGAGAAGAGUGAAAAAACUGGCUUAAAACUCGGCAUUCAAAAAACUAAUAUCAUGGCAUCCGGCCCCAUCACUUCAUGCCAAGGAGCCCAUUAAGAUGAGUUAAAAUGAAAGUGACAGUUAAGGCUUAACCAUUUAUGUGGCGAGACAAAGCAGACAAGAAACAGAAAGCACUGACCUUCUUCUGUUCUAGGUUCUCCAGGAAUGGUGUGCCGGUGAAGAGUCAGCUGGAACAGCACAAAUCUGGGGGUCAUCUCAUGACUAUGGGAACCUUAAACAAAAGCCUAGUGGCCCUGCCUCCCGACGCCGACCAUUGGUUGACUCCCUCAACACACCCCUGAUUGGUGGCCGCAGACCGACCUCACUGUCCAUCAAAGUUGGCGAGAAAGCUGCAGCGGGGCAGAAUGGCGGCGGCUUCAGUCGGUGCCUACGGACUCCACGAGGCAGCGGUGGUCGCUGAUGCUUAAGGCAGAUUCUUAUCCACUGAGCCACCGAGGAAGCCCAGCACUUGGCACAUCUUAACUCUUCCCAGUCCUGCAGGCUGGAAAUUCAAGCUCACGGUGUCAGCGGUGCUGCUGCCUUCUGAAGCCUUGCUCCUAGGAGGUGGAUCAAAAAAGAUCUUCUUAUAAGGACACCAGUCACAUUGGAUUAAGGCCCACUCGAAUCACCUUCAUUUUCUUCCAUAAGGCGCCAUCUCCAAAUAUAGUUACAUUGGCAGAUACUGGGGUUUGAACUUCAACAAAUGAAUUCUGGGGGGAACACAAUUCAGCAUCCAUUACAGGGUGGGCAGUUCCUGUGCUCUGCUUUUUGGAGAAAACAACCCUGGAAAGGGGAAGGUCCCCAUCCCCCCGAGAAAUUCUGGAGAAAGGGGACUGAAAACUAGAAGAGGCUGGAGUCCUGUUCCCUGUUGCAGAGAGACUGCAGGUCCCCGAAGAGGAAAUGACUCAAUGGUGUCUCUGGGCAGCUGAAGCCACAGAGCGCCUCAAAGAGUUUCCUGUACCUAAACCCAGCCUGAAUACCAGCCUCCUGAACAAGGCUCAGGAGUAGCAGAGAGUGCACCACCCUAGAGAGACUAUAGGGGCACAAACAGGGGGUGGGUGGAUCAGAAGAAGCUGGGCACUGUGUGCGUGUGCGGCUUAAGAAUCAGACGAUGGGAGGGACAUAGGUAAUCUGUGGCUGAUUCAUGUUGAUGUUUGGUAGAAACCAACACAAUACUGUAAAGCAAUUACCCUUCAAUUAAAAAUGAAGAA